GACCUCAGUUCGGAUUGAAGGCUGAAAUUCGCCUUCAUGAAGUCGGAAUUGCUAGUAAUGGCAGGUCAGCAUACUGCCGUGAAUACGUUCCCGGGCCUUGUACACACCGCCCGUCACACCAUGAGAGUUGGAGAUACCCGAAGCCUAUGAGCUAACUUUUAGAGGCAGUAGUCGAAGGUAGAAUCAAUGAUUGGGGUGAAGUCGUAACAAGGUAUC
rnacentral:rRNA from 1 species